AUUGAACGCUGGCGGCAGGCCUAACACAUGCAAGUCGAGCGGAUGAGAGGAGCUUGCUCCUCGAUUCAGCGGCGGACGGGUGAGUAAUGCCUAGGAAUCUGCCUAGUAGUGGGGGACAACGUUUCGAAAGGAACGCUAAUACCGCAUACGUCCUACGGGAGAAAGUGGGGGAUCUUCGGACCUCACGCUAUUAGAUGAGCCUAGGUCGGAUUAGCUAGUUGGUAGGGUAAAGGCCUACCAAGGCGACGAUCCGUAACUGGUCUGAGAGGAUGAUCAGUCACACUGGAACUGAGACACGGUCCAGACUCCUACGGGAGGCAGCAGUGGGGAAUAUUGGACAAUGGGCGAAAGCCUGAUCCAGCCAUGCCGCGUGUGUGAAGAAGGCCUUCGGGUCGUAAAGCACUUUAAGUUGGGAGGAAGGGCUCAUAGCGAAUACCUGUGAGUUUUGACGUUACCAACAGAAUAAGCACCGGCUAACUUCGUGCCAGCAGCCGCGGUAAUACGAAGGGUGCAAGCGUUAAUCGGAAUUACUGGGCGUAAAGCGCGCGUAGGUGGCUCGAUAAGUUGGAUGUGAAAUCCCCGGGCUCAACCUGGGAACUGCAUCCAAAACUGUCUGGCUAGAGUGCGGUAGAGGGUAGUGGAAUUUCCAGUGUAGCGGUGAAAUGCGUAGAUAUUGGAAGGAACACCAGUGGCGAAGGCGACUACCUGGACUGACACUGACACUGAGGUGCGAAAGCGUGGGGAGCAAACAGG
rnacentral:rRNA from 1 species